rnacentral:rRNA from 1 species
CAAAGGCAUGGUCCCGACCUUAUUAUCAGCCCUAGCCCAACUUACACAUGCAAGUCUCCGAGCCCCGUGAGUAAGCCCCUUAAUCCCCUGCCCGGGGACGAGGAGCAGGCAUCAGGCACAAACCUUAGCCCAAGACGCCAGGCCUAGCCACACCCCCAAGGGAAUUCAGCAGUGAUAAAUAUUAAGCCAUAAGUGAAAACUUGACUCAGUUAGAGCUAAGAGGGCCGGUAAAACUCGUGCCAGCCACCGCGGUUAAACGAGAGGCCCUAGUUGAUAGUAUAGCGGCGUAAAGGGUGGUUAAGGAUAGUAAAACAAUAAAGUCGAAUGGCCCUUUGGCUGUCAUACGCUUCUAGGAGUCCGAAGCCCAGUAUACGAAAGUAACUUUAAGAAAGCCCACCUGACCCCACGAAAACUGAGGAACAAACUGGGAUUAGAUACCCCACUAUGCUCAGUCAUAAACCCAGACGUCCAGCUACAAUUAGACGUCCGCCCGGGUACUACGAGCAUUAGCUUGAAACCCAAAGGACCUGACGGUGCCUCAGACCCCCCUAGAGGAGCCUGUUCUAGAACCGAUAACCCCCGUUAAACCUCACCGCUUCUAGCCAUCCCAGCCUAUAUACCGCCGUCGUCAGCUUACCC